CAAAUACACAACACCAAGUGCAUGAGAUUUUAGUUGUGCACUGAAGGUAUAUGCUACCUGCAAUCAUGCAGCCACCUUGUUCCUGACACCUGUAGCUCCCUCUGUGUCAUCGUCAUCAUUGGCCUCAUCCCGGGAUCGCUUCUUUUUCUCUCCCUGCUCCCGCAACUCCUGAAAAAACAAACAACCACCCCCCCAUACAAGGGCAAAAAAAGAAGCUCCCUACUCAUGGAGCAGGAGGACAGGUGUGUCCUACUUUGAAGCAGGCUGGAAGAGGCAGGCACACCCUGAUGGUACUUACUGAGUGACAAAGGUGAUGGAUUUGCCAGACCGUCCAGCUCGAGCUGUCCUCCCCACACGGUGAAUGUAAUCCUAAAAGCAAAUAUCUCAGUCAGCAAUAGGAUGUGCUCUGCCAAAUACUGAACUGAAAACAGUCCCUGGAAAUGCGCUUUGUGCCCAAGUAUAUUGAGGCUCCAACAAGCAGCAGUCAACUGCACUGCAAAAUCUGCAGGACAAAAUUAAACCAUGAUAUAAAUAAGGUGAACUAUCAAGACAUUUUUGGGUACACUCUAUUGGACUGUGGAAUAGUCUACGGGACGUGGAAGUUCAAUUGCAAGGGUCAUUUAAUACUAGACAAAAGCUCUGGAGAACAUACAGUGGGAAGCAGCCUUGAGUGGGCAAGACGAACUAGAUCUGAAGUCUCCCAACUGAUCUGAGGAGCACUUGCUGGUUGUAUGGACUUUUCCUUUACGGCGGGUAUCGUAGGCCUCACCUCUGUCUCAAAAUCCAUGUUGAGGAUCCGGUCAGCUUCAUCCAUAACCAGGAGCAUGGUCUUCAAUCACCUCAAGAAUUAGAGACCUCUACCAGAUUCACCCAUGUGAAGUCAACACCCUUCUUCCCACACCUGUUCUCAGAAACAGAAAAGCAGACUUUGCUCACCUUGGAGAGCCACAGGAAUAGCCUCAACUUGAAUUUUAGUUGGUGUCUUCCAUCCCAACUGGUCACAAGUUUCACACAGCACAUCUGUUACACCCUGAGAGUGAAAGAAAAAAAGGGGACAAACAUCAAGAAAUGGCCAAGAACUACCAAGCUAGCUAAUCAAAUGCAGCUGACACAGUUAAGUCCCUCCCAGUCAACCCAUGGACACUCAAUAUUGCACCCACAAACUGUGGGGAUCGCUUUUAAGGAAUUCCCUCAACUUAAAAAAAAAAAAGUCAAAUCUGUCUGAAAAUGUUACCCCCUAUUACUACAAGUACCUGCUAAUAUCACUAUAACUAAGAUCACGAGGGGGGGGUUCUUUUUUCCAAUUCAUGC